rnacentral:rRNA from 1 species
GACGAACGCUGGCGGCGUGCUUAACACAUGCAAGUCGAACGUGAUUUUUGUGGAAAUUCUUUCGGGAAUGGACAUGAAAUGAAAGUGGCGAACGGGUGAGUAACACGUGAGCAACCUACCUUACACAGGGGGAUAGCCGUUGGAAACGACGAUUAGUACCGCAUGAGACCACAGAAUCGCAUGAUAUAGGGGUCAAAGAUUUAUCGGUGUAAGAAGGGCUCGCGUCUGAUUAGCUAGUUGGAAGGGUAAAGGCCUACCAAGGCGACGAUCAGUAGCCGGUCUGAGAGGAUGAACGGCCACAUUGGAACUGAGACACGGUCCAAACUCCUACGGGAGGCAGCAGUGGGGAAUAUUGCACAAUGGGGGGAACCCUGAUGCAGCGACGCCGCGUGAGCGAAGAAGGUUUUCGAAUCGUAAAGCUCUGUCCUAUGAGAAGAUAAUGAUGGUAUCAUAGGAGGAAGCCCCGGCUAAAUACGUG